CCGAGUGGUGAUCGUGAUUAUUGGGUCUAAAGGGUCCCGUAGCCGGUUUGGUCAGUCCUCCGGGAAAUCUGACAGCUCAACUGUUAGGCUUUCGGGGGAGUACUGCCAGACUUGGAACCGGGAGAGGUAAGAGGUACUACAGGGGUAGGAGUGAAAUCUUGUAAUCCCUGUGGGACCACCUGUGGCGAAGGCGUCUUACCAGAACGGGUUCGACGGUGAGGGACGAAAGCUGGGGGCAC
rnacentral:rRNA from 1 species